GGAAGGGUCGCAUAGUGGUCGAGUGCGCGGCGCUGGAGACGCCGUGGGGAGAAAUCCCCUCGUGGGUUCGAAUCCCACCCCUUCCGCCA
rnacentral:tRNA from 1 species